AAGUCGUAACAAGGUUUCCGUAGGUGAACCUGCGGAAGGAUCAUUAACACGUAUCCAACGUUAAAACCCCCCGUGAACCUUUAUUGUGGCACGCCUAUCCAUGCAUGAAAACGGGCCUGCGCUUAAUUGUGCGGCCACCAAACUCGAACAACUGUUAACAAUGGAUAUCUUGGUUCUC
rnacentral:misc_RNA from 1 species